UCCAACAGAAACNGAUGUGCUCAAGCUGA
rnacentral:piRNA from 1 species